rnacentral:rRNA from 1 species
UGGGGAAUAUUGGACAAUGGGCGCAAGCCUGAUCCAGCCAUGCCGCGUGAGUGAUGAAGGCCUUAGGGUUGUAAAGCUCUUUUACCCGGGAAGAUAAUGACUGUACCGGGAGAAUAAGCCCCGGCUAACUUCGUGCCAGCAGCCGCGGUAAUACGAAGGGGGCUAGCGUUGUUCGGAUUUACUGGGCGUAAAGCGCACGUAGGCGGAUCUUUAAGUCAGAGGUGAAAUCCCAAGGCUCAACCUUGGAACUGCCUUUGAUACUGGGGAUCUUGAGUUCGGAAGAGGUGAGUGGAACUGCGAGUGUAGAGGUGAAAUUCGUAGAUAUUCGCAAGAACACCAGUGGCGAAGGCGGCUCACUGGUCCGAUACUGACGCUGAGGUGCGAAAGCGUGGGGAGCAAACAGG